rnacentral:ncRNA from 1 species
AUAAAAGCAUAGCAGGAGAGAAAGAAAGCUGGAUUAUCUAAAGAGAGUCGUGAAUGGUGAGAUGCGGCAUUAAACGGUUUUGUAAUAUACACUCCCAAGCUUAUCUGUUGAAAUUAUAGUAGGUAGAUACGGACGCCCCCGUUAACGUAGGAUAAGGAUUUGUUGAUCCUGAAUAAGGUAAUCUUUUAUUGAUUAUGAAAUAGGGUGGUACCGCGUAAGUCAAGUCUUUCGCCCCUUAG